GAUGAACGCUGGCGGCGUGCCUAAUACAUGCCAGUCGAGCGAACGGACGAGAAGCUUGCUUCUCUGAUGUUAGCGGCGGACGGGUGAGUAACACGUGGAUAACCUACCUAUAAGACUGGGAUAACUUCGGGAAACCGGAGCUAAUACCGGAUAAUAUUUUGAACCGCAUGGUUCAAAAGUGAAAGACGGUCUUGCUGUCACUUAUAGAUGGAUCCGCGCUGCAUUAGCUAGUUGGUAAGGUAACGGCUUACCAAGGCAACGAUGCAUAGCCGACCUGAGAGGGUGAUCGGCCACACUGGAACUGAGACACGGUCCAGACUCCUACGGGAGGCAGCAGUAGGGAAUCUUCCGCAAUGGGCGAAAGCCUGACGGAGCAACGCCGCGUGAGUGAUGAAGGUCUUCGGAUCGUAAAACUCUGUCAUUAGGGAAGAACAUAUGUGUAAGUAACUGUGCACAUCUUGACGGUACCUAAUCAGAAAGCCACGGCUAACUACGUG
rnacentral:rRNA from 1 species